AGCUCCAAUAGCGUAUAUUAAAGUUGUUGCAGUUAAAAAGCUCGUAGUUGGAUCUCAGGCUCCGGCUGGCGGUUCACUUCGCGGUGACUACUGCUUGUCCGGACCUACCCGCCGGUUUUCCCUUGAUGCUCUUCGCUGAGUGUCUCGGGUGGCCGGAACGUUUACUUUGAAAAAAUUAGAGUGUUCAAAGCAGGCCGUGAUGCCUGAAUAAUGGUGCAUGGAAUAAUGGAAUAGGACCUCGGUUCUAUUUUGUUGGUUUUCGGAACUUGAGGUAAUGAUUAAGAGGGACAGACGGGGGCAUUCGUAUUACGGUGUUAGAGGUGAAAUUCUUGGAUCGCCGUAAGACGAACUACUGCGAAAGCAUUUGCCAAGAAUGUUUUCG
rnacentral:rRNA from 1 species